AGGGUUUGAUUCUGGCUCAGGACGAACGCUGGCGGCGCGCCUAACACAUGCAAGUCGAACGGAGAUAAUAGGGAGCUUGCUCCCUGUUAUCUGAGUGGCGGACGGGUGAGUAACGCGUGAGUAACCUGCCUUAAAGAGGGGGAUAACGUCUGGAAACGGACGCUAAUACCGCAUGACAUAUCACUGCGGCAUCGCAGUGAUAUCAAAGGAGGAAUCCGCUUUAAGAUGGACUCGCGUCCAAUUAGCUAGUUGGUGAGGUAACGGCUCACCAAGGCGACGAUUGGUAGCCGGACUGAGAGGUUGAACGGCCACAUUGGGACUGAGACACGGCCCAG
rnacentral:rRNA from 1 species